rnacentral:lncRNA from 1 species
CAGCAACCAACCCAAACCAUAAGAACAACACUUGAUCUUUUCCAAUACCUUUUUACCCUCGUAUUAACCUGGAUUGCUUUUUGAUAGAAUUAAAUAGACGAGUCAGCCUUCUGCUUCAGUUAUUUAAUUGUCUCCAUCUUCCGCAUUGUGGCUGUCUUUGUGCUUCUUGUUCUUCUUUAUUUUAUUUUAUUUUAUUUUGUCUUCUUAUCUUCUCUUUUUUUCUGUUUGUCCCUUUUCUGAUUCUCUUAAUAAACUUGGCU